GACCUCGUCGUAUAAUGGUAGUACGCCAUGCAAAUGUCCGGUUUUGUGCAUGUGUCUUUCUCAUGAGGGUCUCAGUUCAAAUCUGAGCGAGGUCG